rnacentral:lncRNA from 1 species
GAUAAAAUAAAUAAGGUGGAUAGCACCUGGUAUUUUUCACGGAUGAUUGCCGGAAAGCUUCUGACAUAAAUAUAGCCUAGGUCGUGGGGUGGCCGGUAGGACACAUCCAUCGAGUGGCUCGAGCUAGUAGGUGAUGUGUGUACGCCUUCUGAUAGACAGCCAAAUGCAGAGCCAUUGAAGACACGUACAACAAUAUGAAG